rnacentral:rRNA from 1 species
UAAGUGAGUAGUGAAAUCGUGUGGCUCAACCAUUAACGGCUAUUACUCGAAACUGGUAAGCUCGAGAAUGGUAGAGGUAGCUGGAAUUUCUAGUGUAGGAGUGAAAUCCGUAGAUAUUAGAAGGAACACCAAUGGCGUAGGCAGGCUACUGGACCAUUUCUGACGCUGAGGCACGAAAGCGUGGGGAGCGAACCGGAUUAGAUACCCGGGUAGUCCACGCCGUAAACGAUGGAUGCUA